CACGAAAGCGUGGGGAGCGAACGGGAUUAGAUACCCCGGUAGUCCACGCCGUAAACGAUGGAUGCUAGCUGUUAGGAGUAUCGACCCUUCUAGUAGCGAAGCUAACGCGUUAAGCAUCCCGCCUGGGGAGUACGGUCGCAAGAUUAAAACUCAAAGGAAUUGACGGGGACCCGCACAAGUGGUGGAGCGUGUUCUUUAAUUCGAUGUUAAGCGAAGAACCUUACCAGGACUUGACAUCCUUGGAAUUUUUGGGAAACCAGAAAGUGCCUUUUGGAGCCAAGUGACAGGUGUUGCAUGGCCGUCGUCAGCUCGUGUCGUGAGAUGUUUGGUUAAGUCCAUUAACGAGCGCAACCCUUAUGAUUAGUUGGAUUUUUCUAAUCAGACUGCCUCGGCAACGGGGAGGAAGGAGGGGAUGAUGUCAGGUCAUUAUUACCCUUACGUCCUGGGCUAGAAACGCGCUACAAUGGCCGGUACAAAGGGCAGCCAACCCGCGAGGGGGAGCAAAUCCCAUCAAAACCGGUCCCAGUUCGGAUUGCAGGCUGAAACUCGCCUGCAUGAAGCCGGAAUCACUAGUAAUCGUAGGUCAGCACACUACGGUGAAUACGUUCCCGGGUCUUGUACACACCGCCCGUCAAACCAUGGAAGUCACCAACACCCGAAGUCCUAAUUUAUUAGGCCUAAGGUGGGGGGGAUAACUGGGGUUAAGUCGUAACAAGGUAACC
rnacentral:rRNA from 1 species